UCUAAUAUGGCAGAUUAGUGCGGUGGAAUUAAGCCCCACAUAUAAAGCUUAAACUUUUUUUAGAA
rnacentral:tRNA from 1 species